UGAAAACUUAAAAUUAAAAACCCUUCCCUUGCUUCCUAACCUACCAACAACUGAAGCAGCUCUCCCAAAUCCCAAUCUACACCCUCCCAUUGCUAAUUUCACCACCACCAAUACCUUAAACCCUAAAUCCUCUACUCCACCCUUCACUUUUCAAUGGACCCUCGUUGGCGGAUCAGUAAUGACUUUGUGCUCCGUACUCUCUCUAGCUAGGGUUUUUUUCUCUCUCUACAACUACUUCGGAGUAACUGCAAAUGGUGGAACCGGUGGGAAUUGGCGGUGAUCGCGGCGGCGGCGACGAAGAGGAGGAAUUUCUACUGAUGGAGAUCAGUAAUAAUGGAGAACACUCGCGGCGGUUGAACUUUAACGGAUUUCAGUUAUCUACUGAGCACAAGGAGAAGCCUCCUCAUGGCCUCCAGGAUUGUCUCGGGGUUUUAGGUGAUUUCCCCCUCAAUAUUCUUUCUCUACUCUCUACUUUAACCUAUACGAACUCGGUUUGGUUAGGUCGUUGUCUUUGGUUUGAUUCUUCAAUUUGUUUAGGCUGCUUUUUUUAUUAUCCUAAUUAGCAACUAAUAUAUUCUGUGUCGACUAAAUUAAGUCGUUAUUCUUGUUGUUGAAAUGAUUAUUUCAAAAUCACUUUAGUUUAUACAUUUUGUUUUUUUGUUAGUUUAGAAAUAGUUCUAUUUUAAGGAUGUAUUGGAAUUUUCUUAUAAAAAUACAUUUUUUCCAUCAAUUCUGUCUAUAAGUAGAUGACAAGUAAUUGUAUUAGUUAAUUCCAAAAAUUUUGGAUUAAUCACUUGUUUGGUGUGAUUUGAAUUAGUGAUUAACAAAUGUUUCGUCUUUUGUGGGUUCUAUCUUUGGCUGGUGUGCUUUGGCUGAUAAUUUGAAGGAACACUACUUGAACAGAUUAUAAAGUAGACCUUGAAUCAAUAUGGGUUGUUGUGAGUAUAUUAUAGGUGAAGUAUAUAUUUGGGAUCAGCAAAAUGGGUUGUGGCGAGGAGCUCUGGAUUCAUGAUUUGGUUUUGUUUUUGUGAGCUUACCACAAAAUAUGUGAAUAGAGCAAAGUCUGUGACUCCGUGUUCGUAGGAACCUUUAAAAAUACGGGAAACUACCAUUGCCAAUCAAAGGCAUUUUAAUGAAUUUCUCUCUCAUUAUAUUUUGUCAAAAUGAAGUUUUAACAGCCCUAAAUAAAAAUCUAUUGAGAUAGCCUCUGGAGUUAUAAUUGAGGGACCAUAGCAAGCAUCAACAGGUUAACAUGAUACAAGAUGCUCUAAUUCCAUAAUGAAUUUACACAUGGUAGUUUCCAAUAAGAAUACUUUAAACAUAGAACUCGUGCAUUUUAUGGGAUCAUUUAUCUUCUGCAGAAAAAUUGGCCUACAUUUUAAAACACCUCAAUGCAUUUUAAUCAUGUAACUAAAGGAAGCUACUAACACAAUGUUUAGAUCAUGUGGCCCACUGCCUUUCCGUUUCCUUUCUCAUUUAUGUCCUGCUCGAUGAACAAGAGAAUCCUUAUAUUACGUAAACAAUGGAUAUGACUUUGGUUUGUUUGUGAAUUUAUGGAUAUGGCUUGGGGUUGUUUGUGAAUUUUCUUUUCAGAAGACAUAUCGUAAAGUGAUGAGCUUCUUCAUUGAGCAAGAAAAUUUCUUGAUUUACUUGGAGAUUACCCCAAAAAGAUUUAUUUAAUUGCAUCAUUUUCAUUUCAAUCAAGUGGACAAGGUGUGGCCAUCAAAUUUCAUGCUCCAUUAUGUUGCUGAGUAUUUCAAUAAGUUAGUAUUGUGUGCAUCUUGAAUUGAUGUCUAUACAUCUGACACUAGAGUAGCUUGGACAUGGCAGUAUGAAUGCUUGAGUAACUAUUUACAAAUUUACUGCUAUAUCUGCAAGCUUUUCUGUGUAGUCACUGUCUUUUUAUAUAACGGUAUUACAUUCUUGAUACAACAUUGAGGACUUUUAUGAUAUGCAUUUAAAUUAUAGGCAUCUAGUUACCAUUUGUUCUCUCUGCUUUCUAGAUAAUCUAAAUUAUUUUUUCUCUGCUUUCAAAUAUUUCUAUUUUUGUAGACGUGGCUAAAACAGAAGUUUACUACUUAUAUAGUACUAGUUUUCAUUGUAUGCAAUGAUGCCAUCUUUCUGCAUAAGGGUAAGAUGAUAAUCAUAUAGUAUAUUAUAUUAAACACAAAUACAAAGAAUCGUUUGUAAAGACUAAUUUUCAACUUUUUAAUCAUCGUCAUCAUUGUGCUUAUCACUAACAGGGAAGUCAUUACUUCAUUGUUACUAUUAUCGCUAGUAUCGGUUUGAAUGAAAAUUGCAAGCAACAAAGAAUUUUACUUGUAUUCUAUAUGUUUAUUUUCAAGUUCAUCUUUUGAGUACUGUCACAAUAGAUCAAUUCUGGUUAAUCUAAUGAUUCCCCCCUCCUAAAUCAACCAUGUUAUUGCCUAAGAUCUUGACUUUGUAAUUGAAUCUCUCAUUGUACCAAACUGAAUUUUUGUCAUUCAGUGACUAUAUUGAGUACUAAAGCUACCUACUUUAAUGCUUUAUACAAGAUGCUGCAAGAUGGAUGAUUUUGACCAUUUCUUGUUGUGGAAUAUGUAUGUUCUAUAUUAAUGGAAAUGUACCUACUUGUUGCGGGUCGUCUUCUCGUAUGCAUCUUACUUAUAGCAAUUAUUAAACUUGAGUGGUUAAAUGAAUGUGACUAUUUUCAUUGUGUUUCUGGGAUUAUAUACCAGUAUGUGGUUUGCUUAGUGAUGUUUUUGGCUUUUACUCUAGUUUUAGGUUGAAGGAAAAGACAGCAGCUUUGAAAUUUUCUAUCUGUCUAAGAACCUCAAUGAAUAUGAUGAUUACACGUUCUGGGUUCAGAGGGAUGACCAGGGAUAUGCAUAUGACAAGUUGCAGGCUUUACCUGAUGCUCUUAAUCAUUCCUGUGGUAAGUAAGGAGAUUUAACAAGUUGGAUUCACACUUAUCUUUUUCUGGUUCAAAUUGUUUUUAUUACUCUUAAAAUCUGUUAGUGUCAAUAUAUUGUUGGUAUCAUAUUAUAUCCUCGCAGGUUCCCUAUGGGCAAAGAUAAUAGAGUGAUAGAGUGAGAGAGAGAGCAUUAAGCCACCCAUGUAACUUUAUGUUUUAACAUCUGUUUUAGCUUGGACAUUUGAAUGCAUCUAAAUAAUCUGACAGUUGAAUUAGAAAAUGCACAAGUUACUUUGGAUGCUAGACAAACUGGAAAAUGAGGGAUUCAUUACAUGAGUCUAAAUCAAGUUCAAGCAGAUACAUGUUUGUAUUUAAUGACAAUUCAUUAAAUUGCUAAGUUUUCUAUUUUGUCCAGUAUAAUGUUUUUAAUAUUCUCUCCUGUUCUUCUUUGUAGGCGCAAGCAGAAUACAAGGCAUAUUUUAUGGAUAGUUUAAUUAGGUAGUAGUUUAAUUUUAUGGAUAAUUUGGUAUAUUUUGUGGAUGUAGUCAAAUUCACAAUUCAAUAUAGUAGUAAUUAUGUUGAAAAAUGAAUCUGAGAUGUAUGGAUAGUUUGGUAUUAUUGGUAUGUAAAUGUAUUGUAUGAUAUUAAUAUUCUUUGUAAUUGGUAUAUUUUGAAUUUGAGAUGUAUGGAUAGUAAUAUUAUUUGUAAUUGGUAUAUUUUGAAUGUUUGAUACAUUUUGGCUUUAAAUAGAUGACACCUUCUAAACGUUG
rnacentral:lncRNA from 1 species